GAUGAACGCUGGCGGCGUGCCUAAUACAUGCAAGUCGAGCGAACAGACGAGGAGCUUGCUCCUCUGACGUUAGCGGCGGACGGGUGAGUAACACGUGGAUAACCUACCUAUAAGACUGGGAUAACUUCGGGAAACCGGAGCUAAUACCGGAUAAUAUAUUGAACCGCAUGGUUCAAUAGUGAAAGACGGUUUUGCUGUCACUUAUAGAUGGAUCCGCGCCGCUUUAGCUAGUUGGUAAGGUAACGGCUUACCAAGGCGACGAUGCGUAGCCGACCUGAGAGGGUGAUCGGCCACACUGGAACUGAGACACGGUCCAGACUCCUACGGGAGGCAGCAGUAGGGAAUCUUCCGCAAAGGGCGAAAGCCUGACGGAGCAACGCCGCGUGAGUGAUGAAGGUCUUCGGAUCGUAAAACUCUGUUAUUAGGGAAGAACAAAUGUGUAAGUAACUAUGCACGUCUUGACGGUACCUAAUCAGAAAGCCACGGCUAACUACGUG
rnacentral:rRNA from 1 species